UGGGGAAUAUUGCACAAUGGGGGAAACCCUGAUGCAGCGACGCCGCGUGAGCGAAGAAGGUUUUCGAAUCGUAAAGCUCUGUCCUAUGAGAAGAUAAUGACGGUAUCAUAGGAGGAAGCCCCGGCUAAAUACGUGCCAGCAGCCGCGGUAAUACGUAUGGGGCGAGCGUUGUCCGGAAUUAUUGGGCGUAAAGGGUACGUAGGCGGUCUAUUAAGUCAGGUGUGAAAGCGUGAGGCUUAACCUCAUUAAGCACUUGAAACUGAUAGACUUGAGUGAAGGAGAGGAAAGUGGAAUUCCUAGUGUAGCGGUGAAAUGCGUAGAUAUUAGGAGGAAUACCGGUGGCGAAGGCGACUUUCUGGACUGCAACUGACACUGAGGCACGAAAGCGUGGGUAGCAAACAG
rnacentral:rRNA from 1 species